rnacentral:rRNA from 1 species
CUUUUACAAUGAAGAGUUUGAUCCUGGCUCAGGAUGAACGCUAGCUACAGGCUUAACACAUGCAAGUCGAGGGGCAUCAGGAAGAAAGCUUGCUUUCUUUGCUGGCGACCGGCGCACGGGUGAGUAACACGUAUCCAACCUGCCCUUUACUCGGGGAUAGCCUUUCGAAAGAAAGAUUAAUACCCGAUGGGAUAAUCAUUCCGCAUGGUUUGAUUAUUAAAGGAUUCCGGUAAAGGAUGGGGAUGCGUUCCAUUAGGUUGUUGGUGAGGUAACGGCCCACCAAGCCUUCGAUGGAUAGGGUUCUGAGAGGAAGGUCCCCACAUUGGAACUGAGACACGGUCCAAACUCCUACGGGAGGCAGCAGUGAGGAAUAUUGGUCAAUGGGCGCUAGCCUGAACCAGCCAAGUAGCGUGAAGGAUGACUGCCCUAUGGGUUGUAAACUUCUUUUAUAUUAGAAUAAAGUGCAGUAUGUAUACUGUUUUGUAUGUAUAAUAUGAAUAAGGAUCGGCUAACUCCGUGCCAGCAGCCGCGGUAAUACGGAGGAUCCGAGCGUUAUCCGGAUUUAUUGGUUUAAAGGGAGCGUAGGUGGACUGGUAAGUCAGUUGUGAAAGUUUGCGGCUCAACCGUAAAAUUGCAGUUGAUACUGUCAGUCUUGAGUACAGUAGAGGUGGGCGGAAUUCGUGGUGUAGCGGUGAAAUGCUUAGAUAUCACGAAGAACUCCGAUUGCGAAGGCAGCUCACUGGACUGCAACUGACACUGAUGCUCGAAAGUGUGGGUAUCAAACAGGAUUAGAUACCCUGGUAGUCCACACAGUAAACGAUGAAUACUCGCUGUUUGCGAUAUACAGUAAGCGGCCAAGCGAAAGCAUUAAGUAUUCCACCUGGGGAGUACGCCGGCAACGGUGAAACUCAAAGGAAUUGACGGGGCCCGCACAAGCGGAGGAACAUGUGGUUUAAUUCGAUGAUACGCGAGGAACCUUACCCGGGCUUAAAUUGCAGUGGAAUGAUGUGGAAACAUGUCAGUGAGCAAUCACCGCUGUGAAGGUGCUGCAUGGUUGUCGUCAGCUCGUGCCGUGAGGUGUCGGCUUAAGUGCCAUAACGAGCGCAACCCUUAUCUUCAGUUACUAACAGGUCAUGCUGAGGACUCUGGAGAGACUGCCGUCGUAAGAUGUGAGGAAGGUGGGGAUGACGUCAAAUCAGCACGGCCCUUACGUCCGGGGCUACACACGUGUUACAAUGGGGGUACAGAAGGCAGCUACCUGGUGACAGGAUGCUAAUCCCAAAAGCCUCUCUCAGUUCGGAUCGAAGUCUGCAACCCGACUUCGUGAAGCUGGAUUCGCUAGUAAUCGCGCAUCAGCCACGGCGCGGUGAAUACGUUCCCGGGCCUUGUACACACCGCCCGUCAAGCCAUGGGAGCCGGGGUACCUGAAGUACGUAACCGCAAGGAGCGUCCUAGGGUAAAACUGGUGACUGGGGCUAAGUCGUAACAAGGUAGCCGUACCGGAAGGUGCGGCUGGAACACCUCCUUUCU